CCUACGGGUGGCUGCAGUGGGGAAUAUUGGGCAAUGGGCGCAAGCCUGACCCAGCAACGCCGCGUGAAGGAAGAAGGCUUUCGGGUUGUAAACUUCUUUUCUGGGGGACGAACAAAUGACGGUACCCCAGGAAUAAGCCACGGCUAACUACGUGCCAGCAGCCGCGGUAAUACGUAGGUGGCAAGCGUUAUCCGGAUUUAUUGGGUGUAAAGGGCGUGUAGGCGGGAAUGCAAGUCAGAUGUGAAAACUCAGGGCUCAACCCUGAGCCUGCAUUUGAAACUGUGUUUCUUGAGUGCUGGAGAGGCAAUCGGAAUUCCGGGUGUAGCGGUGAAAUGCGUAGAUAUACGGAGGAACACCAGUGGCGAAGGCGGAUUGCUGGACAGUAACUGACGCUGAGGCGCGAAAGUGUGGGUAUCAAACAGGAUUAGAUACCCCGGUAGUC
rnacentral:rRNA from 1 species